AGAGUUUGAUCCUGGCUCAGGACUAACGUUGGCGGCGUGCCUAAUACAUGCAAGUCGCGCGAGGUGUAGCAAUACAUCUAGCGGCGAACGGGUGAGUAACACGUGGAUGAUCUACCCUUAAGAUUGGGACAACUAGCCGAAAGGUUAGCUAAUACCGAAUAUGACCACGACCAGUAUCGCCUGGUUGAGGUAAAAGCUGGGGACCGCAAGGCCUAGCACUUAAGAAUGAGUCCGCGUCUGAUUAGCUAGUUGGUGAGGUAAUGGCUCACCAAGGCGACGAUCAGUAGCCGGCCUGAGAGGGUGAACGGCCACACUGGGACUGAGACACGGCCCAGACUCCUACGGGAGGCAGCAGUAGGGAAUUUUCCACAAUGGGCGCAAGCCUGAUGGAGCGACGCCGCGUGAGGGAUGACGGUCUUCGGAUUGUAAACCUCUUUGGAGUGGGAAG
rnacentral:rRNA from 1 species